CCUACGGGUGGCAGCAGUGAGGAAUCUUUGUCAAUGGACGAGAGUCUGAACCAGCCAAGUAGCGUGAAGGAUGACUGCCCUCUGGGUUGUAAACUUCUUUUAUAUGGGAAUAAAAUGUUCCACGUGUGGGAUUUUGUAUGUACCAUAUGAAUAAAGAUCGGCUAACUCCGUGCAAGCAGCCGCGGUAAUAAGGAGGAUCCGAGCGUUAUCCGGAUUUAUUGGGUUUAAAGGGAGCGUAGAUGGUUUGUUAAGUCAGAUGUGAAAGUUUGCGGCUCAACAGUAAAAUUGCAAUUGAUACUGGCAGUCUUGAGUACAGUUGAGGUGGGCGGAAUUCGUGGUGUAGCGGUGAAAUGCUUAGAUAUCACGAAGAACUCCGAUUGCGAAGGCAGCUUACUAAACUGCCACUGACAUUGAUGCUCGAAAGCGUGGGUAUCAAACAGGAUUAGAUACCCGGGUAGUC
rnacentral:rRNA from 1 species